ACUUCUCUGCCAAGCGCUCCCUCUCUGUGGUUGGGCGUCAACAACAACGUCACGAAAGACGGCAGCGGGUGGACUGACGGAUCCCCGUUGGGUUACAUCGUCAUGGACGGAGGUGACCCCGGCGACCUCUCUGCUGCGUCCUGUCUUUCCUUUCUCACAAGCAACGGCCGCUGGAAGUUUGACGAUUGCCGGAAGAAGAGAGGCUACAUCUGCAAGAAAAGAGGAAACAUUCCAAAACCGCCGCAGCAGCCUCAUGACG